CAACACUGGAAAUUUUAUUUCUAGUGAUUGGAAUGAUGGGAAUUUAAACCCCUUUCAGAGUAACAAUUGGAGGGCAAGUCUGGUGCCAGCAGCCGCGGUAAUUCCAGCUCCAAUAGCGUAUAUUAAAGUUGUUGCAGUUAAAAAGCUCGUAGUUGGAUGUCUGCUGGAAGCAAUCAGUCCGCCCUAUUUGUAGGGUGUGCACUUGAUGAAUUCUGGCAUCUAUGUCCUAAUGUGAUAGAUACGGCGGUGUAUAUGGGUUAAUCCUAUAUACCCGUUUUUGUAUAUUAUAUUGGGAUAAUACCGUUACUUUGAGAAAAUUAGAGUGUUUGAAGCAGGCUAAUUGCCUUGAAUACUGCAGCAUGGAAUAACAAUAUAGGAUUUCGGUUCUAUUUUGUUGGUUUCUAGGACUGAAAUAAUGAUUAAUAGGGACAGUUGGGGGCAUUCGUAUUUAACUGUCAGAGGUGAAAUUCUUAGAUUUGUUAAAGACGAACUACUGCGAAAGCAUUUGCCAAAGAUGUUUUCAUUAAUCAAGAACGAAAGUUAGGGGCUCGAAGACGAUCAGAUACCGUCGUAGUCUUAACCAUAAACUAUGCCGACUAGAGAUAGGAAAAUGUCAUUUUUCUGACUU
rnacentral:rRNA from 1 species